UACGUAGGGUGCGAGCGUUGUCCGGAAUUACUGGGCGUAAAGAGCUCGUAGGUGGUUUGUCGCGUUGUCCGUGAAAACUCACAACUCAAUUGUGGGCGUGCGGGCGAUACGGGCAGACUGGAGUACUGCAGGGGAGACUGGAAUUCCUGGUGUAGCGGUGGAAUGCGCAGAUAUCAGGAGGAACACCGGUGGCGAAGGCGGGUCUCCAGGCAGUAACUGACGCUGAGGAGCGAAAGCGUGGGGAGCGAACAGG
rnacentral:rRNA from 1 species